CAAUUUAAGAAAUCUGUCCCAAAGCCAAGGACAUAGCUCCCCACGUACAAGAAGGGAGGCAAGUCCUUUGGGCUUGGUGCCGUGAAGGAGAAAAAGACUGCACUGAAUCAGGUGGCCUUGUGUGGGACGGAAGGAGGCCAGGCAAACACCCAGCUUUGGAACCUAAAACCUAAAUUCAAGGGACAGACCUUCCAGUUCCCAAGUGCACCUCCCCUCGGCCACUUACUCCAGCUACGGGAGCUCCAUUUAUGCGUUUGUUCCUGGAAAACAUGAUGCUGACCCCAAAGCACAGGAGUUGUAAGUCAUUUGCUCCUGGCCCCUCCUGUUUGACCGGUGGAGCAAGGACUUGAACCUGGCCAGUCUAGCACCAAACGAGACUGACACUGCCAAGCCCUCAGGAAAGCCUUUCAUGAUUCAGUGUUUCAUUGUACUUCUCGUUAAAGGACAACCUUAAAAAAAAGUAAAAUCCUGAUUGCCUACAAAUAUAAAAUGAGCAAGUGUUAAGUAAGGAUUUUUAUUAUGAGAUUACUUGGCAUAUGUUGUUAGAAAAAAUAAUGAUGAAUUGGGCAGGAGUGCACAGUUCAGAGAUCUGGUCUGCAACAUGGUCAGGCAACAUUUUGUGGUCAGAAGCUUGAUUGAUUACAGUUCAAUUUUGGCAUAUUCAUAUAUAUGCCAAUUAUAUGUAUGAGCAAUUUACAGCCUGUGAUUGGCUGAAGCUCAGCUACUGUGAUUGGCUGAGACUUGUUACAAAGUCUACUUCUGGGGCCCGGCAUGUAGCACGGGAAGAAGCACCAAAAUAAGAUAAUAAUAAUUAACUAAGCUCUUACCUUAGGCUUUUAAUUAGUCUGCAUACUGAGAUGGAGUUCAUAAGGAUUCGAGCAAUUACAGAGGCAUCCUUAGGCCAAAAUUAGUUUAACAACAUUGCAACUGUUUCAAAGGAAUCCAAAGGACAGACAACCUUUAUAGAUCAAAAAUACUGAACUGAAUGCAAAACAGGUUUUUCCAGGGUGGGGAAAAGCUAUAUGGACAAAACUCGUUUGCAUCUUUAUAGACAAGAAUUAUUCUGCAUUGCUAUCUGUUCUCACCCUUUACGAUGUGGUAAAAUAGAAAGUAAUAAAAAUCUAGAAUCAGACAACCCUAA